ACCCGGCUGGCUCAGUCGAUGGAGCAUGCAACUCUUGAUCUUAGGAUUGUGGGUUCAAGCCCCACAUUGGGUG
rnacentral:tRNA from 1 species